rnacentral:lncRNA from 1 species
UGCAUGCACACUGGAGACACAGAGAAAGAACAUUUAUACCUGAUGGGGAGUAAAUUAAACUAAAUUUAUUGUUUAAAUAUUUUAUACUUGUUAUAUGUACUAAAUCUGCAGACUGAGGAUUAUAAAUCCAUAAUGUAAAAUGAGGCAUUCAAACUCAACAAAAAUUACUCUAGGAAUUUAAUUACUGCAUUUUAAGGCAUAUAAAAUACACUACAAUAAGUGAGAUGGUUCUACAAAAUGUUCAUUACAUAGAAGUUCGAAUGAGAAACACCUCCCAGAUCCACAAACUGCAGUAUAUAUGUCUUAUAAAAAUUACUCUUAAAUCUUACAUUUCCCUUUUGGGACAUUUAUUGUUCCUGGAGAAAGCAGUAUUUUCUUUCCAAUUCCUAAAUCUGUCUUCGAUUAAACUAGAGAACUUUAUAAAUCAAUAAUAACCUUUUAGAUAUCAACCCCUUCAUAAUUAUACCCUCCAAAUCCGGGUAAUUGUUUGCAUACUUUAUACAGAAAAAAAUUGGGGAAAACAUAUGUUCCAUUUGAUUUGGGAAGUGUAAUGAUUUAGAUUGUUUGUCAACAUUUGUGAAGUUUGGUUCUGUCUUCUUUUAUAUUACAUUUGAAAAGUUAAUUUAUUUCACACAGAGAAACAAAUAGAUCAGGUGACGUUAUUCAGCUCUGGAGGAAAAACAUCGCCUCUUAGAAACUGAUAUGGAUUUUAUCAUAAUAUAGCUUUUGUUAAAGAUAAUACUGUAUAACCAGUGAGUUUAAAUGAAUGUUUUAUUUUACUCAGAUCAAUCUUUGGAUCUUUCUGAUGCUUCUGGUACAUUUCCCAACAGGAAGUGGAUAGACACUAAAACGGGAGUGAUCUCAGAUUAAGAAAAAACACAGACAUCUUGAAGACUUUCUAUAUUUGUAGAAUGAAAUGACAGCAACCAGAGAGGCCUGAGGCUGUUUUCCUAGAUGCCUACUCUGGGUGCCAGCCAUCUGUGUUCAUUUAGAUUGUGUGUGUGUGUGUGUGUGUGUGUGUGUGUGUGUGUAGGUAAAAGGGGGGAGGGACUGAUCUCAAAUUGCAUGUCUGAGUGUGGGCUUGGAUACAGAAUGUAACCUUCUGCCUGGUGCUUCUCAAACAAGACCCCUCAUCUGCAGGUCCCUCCAGAGAAGUAAUUUCACCAAUACCAGCUGCAAGGGGAAUGUUUUGUGUUUUCUUUAUUCGAAGUGAAAGAUGUUAAACAGAAAUUUUCAGAAGCACUUUUGUUUGGAAAAGGGGAAAGGAAGAUCACGGAAACUGGAAAACAUCCAUGAAAUUAGCCCCAAAUCAUUGCCAAUACUGAUCAUUUCCUGACAAGCUGUCUAUCAGCAAACCCACAACAAUAGUUUAUUCAGGGCUUUCUGGUGCCAACAGUGAUGUGGCAUUGCUAAUUAAAUGUUGGUACAAUUGUGAAUAUUUUUAAGUUUCAACUUUCAUUACUUUUACCAUGGAUAGAAUGCACUUUAUUAUCAGGAGUCCUCCAAACAUUUUGUUAAUAUGCUUCCCUUUCAGGUUGCUUUAGCAGGAAUUAGAAUAUCAAUUUAAAGUAAAAGCCCUGCAUGCCAGUUUAACUCACCUAAAGGUAGUGAACAGGAAGAGAGCAGAAAGUAUGGAUGCACUUGGCCAUGUUAGCUCCAAGUUUGGUGUUUAUUUGUGAAAAACCUAUUUUAAAAAGUCUAUAAAUAGGAGAGGGAAAAUGAGGUAAUUUGACUGUAUGAUUGUAUUUAUUCAUUAUGCAUAACCAAAAAUCCUGGCUCCUUUAUGUACAUAUCUGUAAAAUUUCUCAACAUUUCUAUAGCCUGCGAUAUCAUUGCAAUUUUCUUCCAAUGUUAUAUUCUCUCCCUCCCCCUUUCUCAUUCUCACAUUGUUUAUGUGACCUUCUUUGACAUAUUCUGUUCUUAAACAUACAUUGGUCAAUGUUGCAAUUCUAAAACCCAUGUCAUAAUGCCAUAGGAGGGCAUACCAGAUGCUAGGGUUAACCUUCUGGAUGUCACAUCUGCUUACAGUAGUCUGAUUUGGAUUCUCAACCUAGUGUCAAAUUAUUCAUUUUUGAAACUACUAUAAAGUGUGAAACUAUCUCUAUGAAGUCCUCCUAAAGGGGGAAAAUUUGUGUUUAUUAACUACAUAAAAGCCCAUUUUCAAAUAGCACCUAAACUUAGUAAUAGUAAGGACAUUUUAUAUAUCCUAGACUAGUGUGUAUCCAGGAUUUGGACAUCAUCUAGACCCUUAGAAGAGGGAACGCUUAUUGAGUAUUUCACAUAUUUUAAGAAUUAUUUAAAAUGAGAAACAGAUUCACUUGGGUAGCGUAUUGCCCUGAAAAUUCACUGGCCCGAAUUUGCACACCACAAUGCAAAAGAUGCAUAAGGAACUAUUUAAAUAGCUGCAUUCUUGCUAUUCUGGUAUUUAACAGCUCUCUAAGAGAUUUCUUCCUGGAUGCAAAGCAUUUUCUUCCUAAAUGCUCAGAUAAAAAUCCAUCUCCACACAUUGCAGUUUGUGUGUUCAUGUUACUUUGUCUGAUUUCAUAAAAUAGCAAGCACUUAUCUACCCUAAAUCAUAAGAUUCUCACAAAAUUACAGGACAAAGAUCCUGUAUUUCAGAAACUUAGCAUGGGUUGGGGAAAGAAAAAACUAAUAAACAUGGUAAAUAAACAGAGACCAUAUAUUCUUUGAAGUGCAAUAGGAAAUGUAUUUGCAAGGGAUUAGAUGAAUAAAAAGCAAUGACAUAGACUGAAGAAAGAGAAUGCCUUGUGAGUCUUAACAUUUAAAGAGAAUGCCUUAUAAGUCUAACAUUUUUAAAAAUCAAUAUAUUCAUAUUUCUUUUUGGCCUUGUAAAAGUUGAAUCAUAAAUGAAUGAAUGAAUUAUAAACAAAUUGAUUCAAAGGUAGUUACAUAGACCUCAUUCCAGAUUAUGGAAGAGCCAUCAACACAUAUUUAGAAGCACUCAGAGGUCUUGGGUAGACACUUUUCUAUUUCCUGUGAGGUAGGGCCACCUUUUUAACUGACCCCCCACAUUAAAACUGAGAAGUUCUACUUCCUGACAACACUGAAAAAGUCUUAUCUCAACAGCAAGUCAAAUGUUUUAUUGUCCUUUUUAAAUAGCAUAUCGUUCACAUAAUAUUGAAAACAAAUAUAUGUUUAUUGAGCAUGUAUAAUUAUACCAGCUGGGAUAAAAUAUAAAACAAAAAUAAAUUUUUAUUUUGAAAGAGUGGUAAAAGCAAACUUACUGUGGGGCUAACACCAAAGAGAACCCUUUGGGCAGAGAGGAAUGCAGAAAAGAAGCAAAAAAUAAUGUUAUAGAGAUAAGAGGAAAUCAGGUAAUUUUCUGCCUUUAAAAAAGAAUAAGCAGCCUAAACUUAAUAACACUGUAGGAUCUUCAACAGGGAGUGACAUAAUGAAAUUUUUUUUUAGAAACAUCACUCUGACAAUGAUGUUGGAAGGUUGGUGGGAGAGUGGUCUGGAAGAGACACUUACUGGCAGCUGUUGAAGUAAUCCAGUGAUCAUACCUGAGUGAAGGUCAUGGCAGAGUUAAAUAUAGGAACCUAAUUUGUGAACACUUUGGAGAAAUAAAUAAUGGUAAUACAGUCUAAAUAAAGGAUGAGAUAAAUGGCAAAGCGACCAAGAUGACAUCAGCCUCUCAAGCUUGGGAAACUAGAAGAAUGGUAAUAUCACUCAGAAAUGAAAAAGUUGGGACAUUGGUAAGGAAAUAAAAUUUUAAACUGUAUUAAGUAUUUGAGGGGAGCUUCCUGGUGGCCUAAUGUUUAAGGACUUGGCAUUGUCACUACUGUGGCUCAUGUUCAAUCUCUGGCCCAGGAACUUCCCUAUGCCAUGGGCAUGGCCCCCCCAAAAAAAAGUAUUUAAGGGGAGGAGCUCAAGAUGGUAGUGUAGGAGGAUGCAGAACUUACCUCCCCCCACAAACACAUCAAAAAUAUAUCUACAUGUGGAAAAAUUCUCACUGAAAACUAAUUGGAGUCUGGUGGAAAGACUCCUGUACCGUUCCCGUUGUGGCUCAGCGGUUAACAAAACUGACUAGCAUCCAUGAGGACGUGGGUUUGAUCCCUGGCCUCCAUCAGUGGUUUGAGGAUCUGGCGUUGCUGUGAACUGUGGUGUGGGCCAGCAGCUACAGCUCUGAUUAGACCCAUAGCCUGAGAACUUCCAUAUGCCAUGGGCACAGCCU